UGAAUUCAGUAUUCUUUUUCCCCCUUUAAAGCAGGUCCUACACCUAUGACAGUUACUACAGCCGGAGCCGCAGCAGGAGCAAGAGGAGCGACAGCUACCGGAGAUCUCGGAGCUACGAGCGCAGAUCCAGGUCCUACGGCUCCGACAGCGACAGCGAUCGCAGCUACUCCAACAACAGGAGCCCCAGCGAGAGCAGCAGAUACAGCUGAGACUGCUCCUGGGAGGGUGCAAACUCUGCUCCACGAUUUUUUCAGUGUUACAUUCAAAAAACCUCUUCUGACAGUGUCACAAGUGAAGGUUGUUUGCUGAAUUAGCUGAAACUUUCCUGUUUAACAGCGAAUUCAGCUCUGCUUACACAGAGAAGGACUGAGCUCGACAGCUGAUGUUAUUUUUUAUUUUUUUUUAUGUCAAAUGCAACUUUUACAAAAUAAUAAUUAAAAAAGCCCAGUUUGGUUUCCUUGAAUCAGCUUUUCCAAGCCAUGUAUUACAUUUAGGUGAAUUGCUGCUGCCACUUUUUGGGGGCAGCAGUCAGGACUGUCUUCAAGUCUGUUUAUAAACACCUUAGCAGAGAUGUGCUAGCAACUAUUAAACUGUGAAGUAAAAUUUCUUAAAAAGGCUGCCAUUUCUAGUUGAAAAUGCUUUUUUUAUUGCUGGAAGCUGUUUCCAUUCUGUCUUGAUUGUUGAUUAUUGCAUUCUGUACAGGAAAUGGGUGAGGAAAACAAAACCUGCCACUCUGUCUUAAUCCCUCCUGAACUGUGGAGUUCUGGAAUUGUGCUGGAAAAGUUGAGCUGAUGCCCACUGGGAAUUGUCAAACUCACAAGCAGUGAGCAAAAAUGUGAUGAAUGAGUUUGGAGCUUAAUAUCCAACCUGUCUAAACUUUUUAUGUUUAAAAGAGGAAUUUUGUCAUAAACAGCAAUGUCCUUCAGAGGCUAAAAAUGUGUUUCCAAACACUGCCUGAUUUUCAGUUCCUAUCACAGCGCUUGGCAUCCUUCAACACAUUUUAAAUGUUGUAAACCAUGAGUGUGUCAUGAGUUUGUCCAGAGCACUCUUUCAAACACUGACAUGAUGACAAUUUUUUGAGAAAACCAGUUUCUUUAUAAAAGCUCUGUAUCCCAUUCACCACAGGGAAUAUCAGAAUCUGAUAUUGCAGAUAUUGAACUAUAUAUUGUUAAAGCAGGGCUACAGAAAUACUGGGAUGCCUCAUAAAAAACAUGAACAACACCUUCAAAGUAAAGUUUAGUACCAAAAAUUACUCUGAAGUUCCAGGCAAAUGCCUUGCAAAAAUAUAAAUAGAUUCAAGCUGAAGACCUUUGAGUAAUUCUUACAAUAUUCUGAAUUCAGCUGAUUUAAAGUAAUCUGUAAAGUUUUUGAGGGGGUUUAGAAAGUUGUAUUCUGAGAACCAGAUUUUUUAUAAUGUAACCUGAAAAUUGGGGUCUGUGGUGACCAAAGCAACGUGGUUUGAUUAGAAUUAAUGAGCACUGUUGUACCAUACUGACUUUCUGGAAUAUCUGGACAUGCUUUCAUUUGCUCAUUUUCAAAUAUUGGAAAUUAUUUUUCUUAAUCUCAUCAAGACCCAGUAGCUUUGAAAAUGAAAAGUGGUAAUUUCUCACUGAGGCAUCAAUUCCUUCUCUCUUUGAUUGAAUUAAGCUCCUCAGAAUUUGCUGAUUUUUUUGGUACACUGAUGAAAAGGAAGUUCCAAGGGAGAUGGUGAUGAUUUCCUCCAUUUCUGUCCACCCACAGCACAUUCCUGACAUUGAAUUGGCCAUUGGGGUUUUUCACUUCUCUAGAAGUACCCAAAACUCUGCUCUUACCUCUUUCCUACACUUCAGAAUUUAGUGACAAAGUGUUUGCAUGCAACCCUUCCACCCUUUGGUAAACUUUUUAGCAUUAAAUACAUUUAAUACCUAAGCCAGGAUACAUUUACAAACAUAUUUGUAACAGCAGCAGAGACCUGAACAAACAUUUCAGUGAAAUUUGUUGUAGUUUCAUCAUUUUCAGUACAGCUGUAACUUGUUUCUUUCCCUUUCUAAGAAAAUAGAACUAGAGGGUUCAUGGUCUUACAAAAUAUACAAAUAUAACCAUUACUAUUCAACAUCUAUUAGUAAAAAUAUUGCUCCAGGAUCAGAUUUUUAUCAUAUUUCAGAUCUGAUUUGACUUUUUAAGGCCAGGAAAAGGUAAUAAAAGUAUGGUCAAACAACAGCUGUAGUUAUCAGAAAUUAUUGCACUGUCACUAAAAUCUUUCAUAUCUUUAGUCAGUGGUUUCUAAAGAAAUUCCAUCAGGUAGAGAAUGGUUGGGGAGGGGUUGAGGGAAGGGCUGGGGGUAUUUUUCCUUAGUGAAAUCUGUUAAAUUGUGCUUCAGAUGGAAAAUGUCCCCCUGAGCUGGUUUUCUAACGCUGCUCUAUGUUUUUGCAAUUUUGUUAUUCCAAAGUAGUUGCUGUUUGUAAAAUAAACUUUUGUACAUAUCUGCAAA